CUCAACAGAUCAAGGAGCUUUUCCUCUUCUUCUUGGCUGAGCUGGUUAGAAAUAAUUGCUGGAAGUGAAUUUCCAGCUCCCAAGUAGGCAUAUUUGAGGUGGCUGGGCAAUGGUUUCAGUUCUGGUGCAGUUGCUGUUUGCUGGUUUUCUAUCUGCUUGCUGUCUGAUUUGGGCUGUGAUUUGAGCAGAUUUUCUGGUGAGGUGGGCAAAUCACUCUCUGUCAAGUCUGUCUGCUCCAGUGAUUUGGUCUGUGAUUUGAGCAGAUUAUCUGGUGAGGUGGGCAAAUCACUGGGCAAAUCACACAUACCCAGCAACUUACAGCAGUCUGCUGUCCUCUCUGCUUCAGUGAUGUUGCUGUCCUCUCCUCCUUUCCUGCAAAGGCCAUCAUAAAGUAAAUUUUCUUGAUCAAAAUCAAAAAUUUCUUGACUUAAAUCAUCAAUAACAUCAAGGCCAUAAACAGGAGAAACAUCAUUGGGGAAUUUCAUGGCAUCAUAAACAUUAAACUUGAUAACUUCCCCUUCAAACUCCAUGGUUAAUGUGCCAUCAUGCACAUCAAUUUUGGUUCUUGCUGUACUUAAGAAUGGUCUCCCAAGUAAGAUAUCAGAGGUGAUUUUGCCCUUAUCCUCCUCCAUGUCAAUCACAUAAAAAUCUGCUGGAAAGACUAGUUGGUCAACUUGCACCAACACAUCUUCUAGCACUCCCUUGGGGUAGACAAUGGAUCGAUCAGCCAAUUGGAUCAUAAUGCUGGUGCCCUUGAGUGUACCUGCAUUCAACAAGUUAAAAAUAGACAGAGGCAUGACAUUAAUUGAAGCUCCAAGGUCACACAUGGCCUUCUUUAUUCCCACAUUGCCUAUUUUGCAUGAAACCGCAAACAUUCCUCUAUCCUUACAUUUGACUGGUAGUUUUCUUUGGAUGACAGCUGAAACACACUCCCCCACACUUACCUUUUCAUGUUUAGCAAGUUUCCUCCUAUUGGUGCAUAGCUCUUUGAGAAAUUUAGCAUACCUUGGUAUUUGUUUGAUAGCAUCAAGUAGAGGUAUGUUGAUUUCUACCUUGCGAAGUGUCUCCAAUAUCUCUUUUUUCUCUUUCUCCUUUUGGGACCUUGCAAAUCUCUUUGGGAAGGGAGGAGGUACCUUGAAUUUCUCCAUAGGUUGCUGUUUCUGCCUUUGACUUGAUUCUGCCUGGUCUGUUGAUUUGGGCAAAUCACUUUCUGCCUUCUCUGGAGAAUUGGGCAAAUCACUGCUGGACAGCUUAGUUUGCCCAGCGAUCGGGUCAGUUCCUCCGAGUGAAUUGGUCAAAUCACUGCCCUGAUCACUUUCUGGCAGAUUUUCUUCCAUGGUCUGUUUUUGCAAUUUUUCAGCCCUAUUGUCUUGCAAUUCCUUUCCACUCCUCAAUGUGAUGGCACUAACAUUUUGCCUUGGAUUUAUCUCAGUUUGGUAGGGUAAACAACAACUUUCCUGUGCUAGCAAUCUGGUUGUGCUGGAUUCUCCAGGGGGCUGGUCUGUUUCAGAAAUUUCAGCAGAUUUUGGUUCAGUUGGGGCACUUCCAGCAGUUGCUGGUUUAUGGACAGCAGCAGGGGAUGUAACAGUGGCUGAUUCAACACUUGCUGAUUUUUGGACAGCCGGUUCAGCAAUUGCUGGUGUAAUUGUGGAAGCUUCAGCAGUGGCAGGCGUGGCAGUGGAUGAAUUUGCUGGUGCAGCAACAAAAUCUGCAGGUGCAGAAAAAUCUGCUGGUUCAGUUGGGGCAAUUUCUGAGGUUGCUAAUUUUUGGACAGCAGGUGCUGUUUCUGCAGUGUAUAUUUCUGAUUCAGCUGGUNN
rnacentral:lncRNA from 1 species